UCGGCCUCCCGAAGUGCUGGGAUUGCAGACUGAGCCCCUUGUGCUUAACGAACGAGACCAAAUAAGGCCGUCCCUGGAAGCCUCAGGGCUGGCCGGGAGGGUACUGGCCGACUCCAAGCGAGCCGCCUCCCUGCCUGCCCGCUCCCCCACUGGACCACGCUUCCUUCCAGCUGCCCCAAACCUCACGGCUCAGUUGCUGCUGACAAGGCCUCCCUCAUCUUCAGAAACUGCUGCUGAGUCUGAAACGGGAGCGGGCCGCCUGCAGGGCAUGAGUGUCAGCUACUGGAGUGUGAGGCCCACCUGUGUCUUCCUCGCUGGAUUGGAAGAUGUUCCAGGAGACACAGCCACUGGCAGUAGACGUAGGAAUGGACCCAUGGCUGCAGCACCACCCCGGGGACACGUCUGCCCAGCAGGCAGGAUGGUUGUGUGGGCUUCUGGAGACCCCUCCCUGGGCAGUGCCAGCAGAGUGCCAGAGCCGCCUCCCUGACCGCUCGCCAUACUCACCGGCACCUUCACAAGGCCAGGCCGCAUCCGGCCAGCCUGCUCUGCCUGGCUCCACUUGGGAGGUCCGCGGGCCCUCAGGGUGACCCCCACACCUGAUUGCUGGUGGGGUUCUGAGGGUCCUGC